rnacentral:rRNA from 1 species
AUCGAACGCUGGCGGCAGGCCUAACACAUGCAAGUCGAGCGGAUGAAGGGAGCUUGCUCCUGGAUUCAGCGGUGGCCGGGUGAGUAAUGCCUAGUAAUCUGCCUGGUCGUGGGGGAUCACGUCCGGAAACGGGCGCUAAUACCGCAUACGUCCUGUGGGAGCCAGUGGGGGAUCUUCGGACCUCUCGCUUUCAGAUGAGCCUAGGUCGGAUUAGCUAGUUGGUGGGGUAACGGCCUAGCAAGGCGACGAUCCGUAACUGGUCUGAGAGGAUGAUCAGCCACACUGGAACUGAGACACGGUCCAGACUCCUACGGGAGGCAGCAGUGGGGAAUAUUGGACAAUGGGCGAAAGCCUGAUCCAGCCAUGCCGCGUGUGUGAAGAAGGUCUUCGGAUUGUAAAGCACUUUAAGUUGGGAGGAAGGGCAGUAAGUUAAUACCUUGCUGUUUUGACGUUACCAACAGAAUAAGCACCGGCUAACUUCGUG